GAUGGUAAGCGUUGAAGGGUCUGGGUGUAAACCUGCCUGGAGCUGCCAUCGGCACAGAUCUUGGUGGUAGUAGCAAAUACUCAAGUGAGAUCCUUGAGGGCUGACGUGGAGAAGGGUUCCAUGUGAACAGCAAUUGCACAUGGGUGAAUCGUUCCUAAACCAAAGGCGAAAGCCACGCUCAUAAACUUGUGGCCACAUGAAUUUAUUAAGGGGAAUUUAUAUCAAUCAUGCCAGAAACAGCAACGAAUGGAUAGGCUAUCCUCAAGUGCUAGUGGAAGCAGAUAAUGAUUGAUCAAUAUUUCCUCUUAUUUUCGAGUGAGCCUGCAAGGAGUUUGGCGAAAGGGAAUCCGGUACUCAUUCCGGAACCUGGACAUGAGGAGUAGUGUUGCUAUAUGCAUCACAUAGCCGCAAGGCAUUUACCAUCCUGGAGAAUCCAACCAGAGAGCCGGGAAGAGUUGUCUUUUCUGCUUAAGGGGAAGAGGGCCUUGUGAACUGGGUCGGUCAGAGAGAGGGUCUUUUCCCCGAAUAGCACCGCGGUUCUUGCGGAGUCCAGCUCCUCUGGUAUGGAACUUGAAAAUCCAGGGGUAAGAUGAAAUACCUUCAUGCCAGUUCGUACCCAUAUCCGCAUC
rnacentral:rRNA from 1 species